UCGCUCACAAAGUGGUUGUGAUAUGCUGGUGCAAAUGUUCAUAUCACAGCCAGCUUUGAUGAGCGCGG
rfam:Melipona quadrifasciata isolate 0111107301 unplaced genomic scaffold scaffold192, whole genome shotgun sequence.